rnacentral:lncRNA from 1 species
UAAGGACAUGGUAGACUGGUACAUAAAAUGAUAUAGAAACAAUCAAGUUUCCAAAUUACUAUAUGAAUAGCAUGGAAGCUCAAAAAGGAGAUGAGCAGAUGGCUCAAGGCCUACUCUCAUUCUAGUCCUUAUUGUCGUAUCAUAUACAUUAGCAGAGACACCAAAACAGUAGCAUAGUCGCAUAGAUCACUAUCACUUAGCAUGGGGCACAAUACAAACUACACACACUUGCAAAAUUACUAACUCUAGAUUUCAUCUACCAAAUCUUAAUCUAAUAGCAUCCGUCCACAACGAAAUAAUCCUACACAAAUACAAAUCAACAGAAACAAAAACAGCUUAGGCUGAACCAAUUGCAUAAAAAUCUCUAUUUAUAAACUCAAUCAAUUCAAUGCGACAAACUCUUAAUAUAACCCUCGUAAAUGAAUUUAGAAUACACUCGAGCUUUAGAAAAAUAAAUCACGUUAAAAAUAUUCAGAAACAAACAUCUCUGACCCAAACCCAAAAAGGAAUUACAUAGCUAUCCUUAGAUGAUGAGCAUACCUUUAGGAGCCAUUGCUGAACAAAGCCAACCUAAGCCAAACCAGUCAAAUCAUGUCCAGAAAAAUGAACAUUGUCAGCUCAAAAUAAAUUUCAGAAACAAAAAUAAAAGGCAUUUUGUGUCACUGAACAUAACUACUAAUGGAAAUCAGAAGAAGCCCAUAGUGUAUAGAUCUAAACAUGCAUGUAUCUACACAUAUAUAAAUAUGUAUAAUAAUAUGUAAAUCUACACAGAUAUAUACAUAUAGAGAGAGAUUGAGAAGAGCUUUAACGCAAAACGCACCUGCAGGCGAGGAAGAAAGGUAGCUGCGGAGGACGACUAGGGUUCGAAAAUGAGGGCGAUAUAUGAAUGAAUACUGCUUACGUAGUGGGCUGGGC